UGGGGAAUAUUGCGCAAUGGGGGAAACCCUGACGCAGCAACGCCGCGUGAAUGAUGAAGGCCUUAGGGUUGUAAAGUUCUGUCUUCUGGGACGAUAAUGACGGUACCAGAGGAGGAAGCCACGGCUAACUACGUUCCAGCAGCCGCGGUAAUACGCAGUUGGCAAGCGUUGCCCGGAUUUACUGGGCGUAAAGGAUGCGUAGGCGGAUAUUUAAGUCAGAUGUGAAAUACCCGGGCUCAACUUGGGUGCUGCAUUUGAAACUGGAUAUCUAGAGUGCGGGAGAGGUAAGUGGAAUUCAGAGUGCAGCGGUGAAAUGCGUAGAGAUUAGGAAGAACACCAGUGGCGAAGGCGACUUACGGGACCGUAACUGACGCUGAGGCAUGAAAGCGUGGGGAGCAAACA
rnacentral:rRNA from 1 species